rnacentral:misc_RNA from 1 species
CUAUACCGGCGUUCUCCUUGGAUGUUCUAUUUAUUCCUUGCAUUUUUCUCCCCGUCGUCCGUUCGCCGUCUGUAGCCGCCGUUCUUCUAUGUACCCUGCUGUGUAAACCCUAAACAGCAACGAUGGCCACCCGCAACUGGAAUCUGGAGUGCAAGGUAUAUGUUGGAAAUCUUGGCAACAGUGCUGCCAAGAAUGAGAUUGAAGAUGCCUUCAGCAAGUACGGGAAUCUGCGCAACGUGUGGAUUGCGCGCAACCCUCCCGGCUUUGCAUUUGUGGAGUUUGAGGACCCACGGGAUGCUGAGGACGCAGUGCGAGGACUGGACGGAACUCGGCUGUGCGGCGAGCGGGUCCGUGUGGAGAUGUCUUCCGGCAAGAGCCGCAGCCGCGGCGGUAUGCGCGGCGGCGGCGGCGGCUACGGCGGUGGUGGUUUCGGUGGCAGGAGGUCGCCGGGCCGUCGCUCCAUCUCGCCGCGGCGCCGGUCACGCAGCCGCAGCCCGCGUGGUUCGCCCGUCUACGACCGCUACAGGAGAUAAGCGUUGCCGCCCACAACCUGCCACCUGCGAUGGCGCCGCGAGUCUUCACUUCAGAACCUUGGUCCAGGAGCCGCGACUGAAGAGGUCCGCCGCCACCGACACUGGCCGCUGUUGUCACCGUUUGACGCCCCCGGAUGACGCCGGCACCCCCCCCCCUUACCCCCUCCCCAGCGCCGCCCAUAUCCCCCCCCC